rnacentral:rRNA from 1 species
CCAAUAGCGUAUAUUAAAGUUGUUGCAGUUAAAAAGCUCGUAGUUGAAUUUCGGGAUUAGUACGCUGGUCGUGCCUUCGGUAUGUACUGGUGUUACUGGUUUUUACCUUCUGACGAACCGUCAUGUCAUUAAUUUGGUGUGGCGGGGAAUCAGGGCUGUUACUUUGAAAAAAUUAGAGUGUUUAAAGCAGGCUCGCGCUUGAAUACAUUAGCCUGGAAUAAUGAAAUAGGACGUUCGAUCCUAUUUUGUUGGUUUCUAGGAUUGACGUAAUGAUUAAUAGGGAUAGUUGGGGGCAUUAGUAUUCAAUUGUCAGAGGUGAAAUUCUUGGAUUUAUUGAAGACUAACUACUGCGAAAGCAUUUGCCAAGGAUGUUUUCAUUAAUCAAGAACGAAAGUUAGGGGAUCGAAGACGAUCAGAUACCGUCGUAGUCUUAACCAUAAACUAUGCCGACUAGGGAUCGGAUGAUGUUAUUUUUAAUGACUCAUUCGGCGCCUUACG